AGCGUACACGGUGGAUGCCCUGGCAGUCAGAGGCGAUGAAGGACGUGCUAAUCUGCGAUAAGCGUCGGUAAGGUGAUAUGAACCGUUAUAACCGGCGAUUUCCGAAUGGGGAAACCCAGUGUGAUUCGUCACACUAUCAUUAACUGAAUCCAUAGGUUAAUGAGGCGAACCGGGGGAACUGAAACAUCUAAGUACCCCGAGGAAAAGAAAUCAACCGAGAUUCCCCCAGUAGCGGCGAGCGAACGGGGAGCAGCCCAGAGCCUGAAUCAGUGUGUGUGUUAGUGGAAGCGUCUGGAAAGGCGCGCGAUACAGGGUGACAGCCCCGUACACAAAAAUGCACAUACUGUGAGCUCGAUGAGUAGGGCGGGACACGUGGUAUCCUGUCUGAAUAUGGGGGGACCAUCCUCCAAGGCUAAAUACUCCUGACUGACCGAUAGUGAACCAGUACCGUGAGGGAAAGGCGAAAAGAACCCCGGCGAGGGGAGUGAAAAAGAACCUGAAACCGUGUACGUACAAGCAGUGGGAGCCUCUUUUAUGGGGUGACUGCGUACCUUUUGUAUAAUGGGUCAGCGACUUAUAUUCUGUAGCAAGGUUAACCGAAUAGGGGAGCCGAAGGGAAACCGAGUCUUAACUGGGCGUUAAGUUGCAGGGUAUAGACCCGAAACCCGGUGAUCUAGCCAUGGGCAGGUUGAAGGUUGGGUAACACUAACUGGAGGACCGAACCGACUAAUGUUGAAAAAUUAGCGGAUGACUUGUGGCUGGGGGUGAAAGGCCAAUCAAACCGGGAGAUAGCUGGUUCUCCCCGAAAGCUAUUUAGGUAGCGCCUCGUGAAUUCAUCUCCGGGGGUAGAGCACUGUUUCGGCAAGGGGGUCAUCCCGACUUACCAACCCGAUGCAAACUGCGAAUACCGGAGAAUGUUAUCACGGGAGACACACGGCGGGUGCUAACGUCCGUCGUGAAGAGGGAAACAACCCAGACCGCCAGCUAAGGUCCCAAAGUCAUGGUUAAGUGGGAAACGAUGUGGGAAGGCCCAGACAGCCAGGAUGUUGGCUUAGAAGCAGCCAUCAUUUAAAGAAAGCGUAAUAGCUCACUGGUCGAGUCGGCCUGCGCGGAAGAUGUAACGGGGCUAAACCAUGCACCGAAGCUGCGGCAGCGACGCUUAUGCGUUGUUGGGUAGGGGAGCGUUCUGUAAGCCUGCGAAGGUGUGCUGUGAGGCAUGCUGGAGGUAUCAGAAGUGCGAAUGCUGACAUAAGUAACGAUAAAGCGGGUGAAAAGCCCGCUCGCCGGAAGACCAAGGGUUCCUGUCCAACGUUAAUCGGGGCAGGGUGAGUCGACCCCUAAGGCGAGGCCGAAAGGCGUAGUCGAUGGGAAACAGGUUAAUAUUCCUGUACUUGGUGUUACUGCGAAGGGGGGACGGAGAAGGCUAUGUUGGCCGGGCGACGGUUGUCCCGGUUUAAGCGUGUAGGCUGGUUUUCCAGGCAAAUCCGGAAAAUCAAGGCUGAGGCGUGAUGACGAGGCACUACGGUGCUGAAGCAACAAAUGCCCUGCUUCCAGGAAAAGCCUCUAAGCAUCAGGUAACAUCAAAUCGUACCCCAAACCGACACAGGUGGUCAGGUAGAGAAUACCAAGGCGCUUGAGAGAACUCGGGUGAAGGAACUAGGCAAAAUGGUGCCGUAACUUCGGGAGAAGGCACGCUGAUAUGUAGGUGAAGUCCCUCGCGGAUGGAGCUGAAAUCAGUCGAAGAUACCAGCUGGCUGCAACUGUUUAUUAAAAACACAGCACUGUGCAAACACGAAAGUGGACGUAUACGGUGUGACGCCUGCCCGGUGCCGGAAGGUUAAUUGAUGGGGUUAGCGCAAGCGAAGCUCUUGAUCGAAGCCCCGGUAAACGGCGGCCGUAACUAUAACGGUCCUAAGGUAGCGAAAUUCCUUGUCGGGUAAGUUCCGACCUGCACGAAUGGCGUAAUGAUGGCCAGGCUGUCUCCACCCGAGACUCAGUGAAAUUGAACUCGCUGUGAAGAUGCAGUGUACCCGCGGCAAGACGGAAAGACCCCGUGAACCUUUACUAUAGCUUGACACUGAACAUUGAGCCUUGAUGUGUAGGAUAGGUGGGAGGCUUUGAAGUGUGGACGCCAGUCUGCAUGGAGCCGACCUUGAAAUACCACCCUUUAAUGUUUGAUGUUCUAACGUGGACCCGUAAUCCGGGUUGCGGACAGUGUCUGGUGGGUAGUUUGACUGGGGCGGUCUCCUCCUAAAGAGUAACGGAGGAGCACGAAGGUUGGCUAAUCCUGGUCGGACAUCAGGAGGUUAGUGCAAUGGCAUAAGCCAGCUUGACUGCGAGCGUGACGGCGCGAGCAGGUGCGAAAGCAGGUCAUAGUGAUCCGGUGGUUCUGAAUGGAAGGGCCAUCGCUCAACGGAUAAAAGGUACUCCGGGGAUAACAGGCUGAUACCGCCCAAGAGUUCAUAUCGACGGCGGUGUUUGGCACCUCGAUGUCGGCUCAUCACAUCCUGGGGCUGAAGUAGGUCCCAAGGGUAUGGCUGUUCGCCAUUUAAAGUGGUACGCGAGCUGGGUUUAGAACGUCGUGAGACAGUUCGGUCCCUAUCUGCCGUGGGCGCUGGAGAACUGAGGGGGGCUGCUCCUAGUACGAGAGGACCGGAGUGGACGCAUCACUGGUGUUCGGGUUGUCAUGCCAAUGGCACUGCCCGGUAGCUAAAUGCGGAAGAGAUAAGUGCUGAAAGCAUCUAAGCACGAAACUUGCCCCGAGAUGAGUUCUCCCUGACUCCUUGA
rnacentral:rRNA from 1 species